CAGUAGCCGCGGUAAUACGGAGGAUCCAAGCGUUAUCCGGAUUUAUUGGGUUUAAAGGGUGCGUAGGUGGCCUGUUAAGUCAGGGGUGAAAGACGGUAGCCUAACUAUCGCAGUGCCCUUGAUACUGAUGGGCUUGAAUGAACUAGAGGUAGGCGGAAUGUGACAAGUAGCGGUGAAAUGCAUAGAUAUGUCACAGAACACCAAUUGCGAAGGCAGCUUACUAUGGUUUUAUUGACACUGAGGCACGAAAGCGUGGGGAUCAAACAGGAUUAGAUACCCGAGUAGUCCCUGUCUCUUAUAC
rnacentral:rRNA from 1 species